AAUUUUUAUUUACUCACGUUCACUCAGCAACUUCACUUUUAUUCAGCAAAACUAUUUAAAGUGUAUUAUUUUUUCCUCAUGAAACAACAAAGGUGAUUUUAGCAGCCCGAGUUAACGAGAGUCGUUAGCAUCGUUAGCUAAUUCACGACAGCCUUACUGUUUGAGUCGUAGCUCUUCUUUUCCUCAUAAACCUCUGAGUGGUUUGUCGCCUGGGUUUUUGCGCAAAAUACCGUUUAAAUAGCUUUUAAUUGUUGCUAUGGACUAUAACCCUUGCUAACGUGUUAAGCUAAUAUAUAAUAUAAUAUAAUAUAUAAUAUAAUAUUAUAUAUAUAGCUAGCUAGCUUAGCAUGAGACCCAAGAGGCAGAAAAUGGCGCCAAACCAGCGCGAGCUAGAUUUACCGAGUAAUCUUUCAGACGUAAAGGACAACAUAGUACAGAUAAUCAAGGGCGUAACCAUGGUAUGGACCUUGUGGGGGUCCACUUAAUUGUCCUUGGCCCACAUGUGGUGUAAAGGAACGAAAUGCUGUGCAACUUUCCUCACUUGCACUCGCAUUUAUAACAGUUGUCACAACGUGAGGGUUCUGCAAGUGAAGGCAACGUUAAUGGUCAAAAACUGGAACUACUUCGUGGGUGUGCAAAGUGUGAUUUAUCUUUUUCCUCCUUAUUUUCCCGUCGAUGCAGUGGACGGGCAGGUUCAGGGAAGACCUUUACCAUGCUGGGUGUGUUAUGUACACGCGCGCGCACUGAGGAUCCGGCGUCAGUGUACAGUGCUAUGAACGCUGAACUGUGUGUGUGUGUGUUUUAGGGCCGAAUGAGCUGACUGAUUUCUCUGAUGAGUUGUGUGGUGUUAUUCCUCGUAGCACUGAGCAUUUGUUCUCCCUCAUCAGCAGAGAGGUGGAGAAGUCUGCAGGAGCAAAGAGCUUCCUGUGUAAAUGCUCCUUUAUCGAGAUCUACAACGAGCAGAUCUUUGACCUUCUGGACAGUGCCUCAGUGAGUCUGUUCCUCAGAGAGGACAUUAAGAAAGGAGUGUUUGUGGAAGGAGCGGUGGAGAAAUAUGUGGCUUCAGCUGCAGAGGCCUACCAGUUCAAGGAGAUGGGACAGGAAGUGGUGACCAUCAGAACGUCUCAACUCAAUCUGGUAGACCUGGCGGGGUCUGAGAGGCAGAGAGACACACAUGUUGAAGGAUCACGCCUGAAGAUGGCGAGCAGCAUCAACCGCUCUGAUGUGCCUUGGUCAGGUGAUCAUGGCUCUGUGCUCACAGCAUGUUGUUCAAAAGGAAUGAAGGGAGUCCCAGUCAUCUUUACCUUCAUGCUUGUUAAGUUUAGCUUUAGGUCCAUCUGGAGCGCUACCACGAGGGGCUGUGAGGUGAUUGGUGGAUGCUGAAGUAGUUGAAGAUAACCUUUACGAAUUCCUUUGACAACAGAAGAACCUAUUGAAAUCAUUCUCAUGACUGGAUCUGCAAGCUGUUGUAAGGUUGUGAUGGACUUUAACAGGAACCAUGGCAAGGACAUCACACACAACACUCUUGCCAAACUUAAACCAAAAAGAUGAAAUGUUGGGGACCAAGCGAGAUGUAGACGUCCACGGACAUCCACUGACGAAGGCACAACCGAUGUGGUACUGGCAAACAUAGUCCCCAAUAUAUGGAGACUUUUGGGACACCCUGUAUAUUCCAGUUUUCCUAGUUCCCCAAUGUUCCAUUUUGGCUCAACUGCCACCUCCCUUUAAAGGUGUCCGUGUAAGUGGACAUUGCUUCAAGUGAAAAGGGUGCUCUGUCUGCAUCAUGUCUGAGUCAGGGUUCAAUUAGUGACCGUGUGAACAAGUACCAGUAGUAAAAUGGUCAAAGACACAAAGUCAUGAUAUCCCACCCUUAAAAAACUUAGUUUAUGUUGGACCUCAGAGUUUUUGAGGAUAUGUGUGAUGAUUGUCCUGCUGGUGAAAUUCUCAGUCUGAAUCUCAGCACUUUUAAUUUAAAAUGGAAGGUGAAAUACCUGAACCAAGAUGCAUGCGGGUAGGAAUCAAAUCCAUCUUUCCAUCUUUCAGAGAGGAAAAGUCAUACCAGCUUCCACUUUAAAAGCCUUAAAAGACUACAACCUUGCUCAGGUAGUAUAAUAAUGCACUUCCUUAUGUUGAAUUAAUUCAUUAUUCAUGUUUUCUAAACUUAAACUAUUAUGGAACUUCAAGUUUUUUUUAAAAAAAAAAAAUCUUUUCAGACAUCAUGUUCCCAAAUUACCUUACUUUAUACAACACUCAGAUUUAGUCACAAGUUCUGUUAAACUGAAAGGAGAAUUUAAAAAAAAAAAUUAUGCAACCUGCUAGUUCAUACCUGUACCAUUCCUUUAAGUCCCUGGAUGCUAACUGCUGUGUUUUCUCUACUGCUUGCUAACUCUUAACAUUACACAUUAAAAAGAAGAAAAAACAAAAAUUACACUUACAAAACUAGCAGGUUGGCUUCACGUUUCAAUCUGCAGUGCAACAAAAGAACUAUUACCUGUAAUCAUCCAACAAGCGUUACUUGCUGUUAGCCUAUACACUAGUCACAUUUGAUUCCAUUUCAUUAUUACAAAAUCACAGCAAAAUUGUUUAUAUUAAAAGCAUUUUUUUUUACUUUGGAAAAAAAAAAAAAUGUAUAAAAGGUGACUGAACAUUCAAGGUGGUGUGUUAUCACGAAUAACAUCACAGCCGUGAUAUCUAGCAUGGCCCGAUCACAGCCGUCAUGUUGUUCACAAUAAAGCAAGUAAAUAGGGUGCUGCUCAGGACGUAGCGCAAUCCGAGAUGAUGAAUAAAGACACCAUUUUUGAUCCUGCAGCUGCUACAACAUGCUUGAGUAAGGCACUUUAACUCUAAACUUUGAGUCAUUUCCAGGGCCAAACCGCCUGUCACACAGUUCCAUCAAGCAUACUGGUUGCUCAGAGGGGUGG